UGGUGGAGCGAUUUGUCUGGUUAAUUCCGAUAACGAACGAGACUCUGGCCUAUUAAAUAGUUCGCCGAUUCCGAUCUGUCGGCGUUAACUUCUUAGAUGGACAAGUGGCUUUUAGCCACGCGAGAUUGAGCAAUAACA
rnacentral:rRNA from 1 species